AUGGUUGUUGAACUUCUCUCUUCUCAUUUGGAUCCUCCGCGACAGAGUUCUCCAUUGCGGAUCUCAUCUCAAGUUGAGCACCAAUUUGCUUUCAUUCGCGAUUCGUAUUUCAUUUUCAAACAAGACAAAGAAUCACAAAGGCGAGUAAAAGAAUUAUACCUAUUGAAGAAUCCCGGUGGUUCUUCAACAAUGAUGCCGAUGUCGAGAAACAAAACUCCGCGAGAGGGAAAUCAGCUGGAAGUAUUGAUUUGUGCACGAGCUGAUAUAAGGUAUGCAGAGCUGAUUUUGUUUGGUAUAGCUGGGUGA